UUAGUAAAGUCUUUCUCUCUCUUAUUUCACUUUGCUGUAUCUGAUUUCAUUUGACUCAUUUUGUCAUUCACUUUUGCACCAUUUCAUUUUCGAAGAGGAAGUGUUGUGCCAAGGUUGGCACGAUGGAGAACGCAAGAAGACUGAAGAAGUGUUCGUGUUGUGCUAGGGUUGGGGCUGAUAGAGAACGCGAGAACACCGAAGAGCAAUUGUUCGUGUUGUGCUAAGAAAAUGAAGUUUUGCUUGUUAUCAUUGUUGACCAAGAGGCGACCAUUGUCGAGCUUGAGAAAAUGGUUGAGAAGCUACAAAUGUUUGUUGCACAGAAGAGGCAAGGGGCUGCUCAUGUUGGGAACUCACAUUCAAAUAAAGAUUAUGACAUGGUAGUUGAUGAUUUUGGGACCAGUAAUUCACAUGAAGAUUAUGAGCUAGUAGUUUCAUCUGUUCUGGUUUCAAAUUCUAAGAAAGAAAUAGAGAUGGAAGGUGAUGAUUUUCAGAAGUCCAAUUCUGAGAAGAAUUUUGAAAGUAUAUUGUAAAUUGUAAAUUUGAAUGAUGUUAACUGUUGUAUUUUUUUAUGAAGGAAGGUUGAAUAUAUGAUCCAUUUGUAAUUGUUAUUCAGUUGUUCAUUUUCCAGGUUCAAUGAAUUUGAUCUGGGAAUACAUUAUUCUUUA